rnacentral:rRNA from 1 species
ACGAACGCUGGCGGCGUGCUUAACACAUGCAAGUCGAGCGGUAAGGCCCUUUCGGGGGUACACGAGCGGCGAACGGGUGAGUAACACGUGGGUGACCUGCCCUCAGCUCUGGGAUAAGCCUGGGAAACCGGGUCUAAUACUGGAUAUGACUCCAUGACGCAUGUUGUGGGGUGGAAAGCCUUGUGCGGCUGAGGAUGGGCCCGCGGCCUAUCAGCUUGUUGGUGGGGUGAUGGCCUACCAAGGCGACGACGGUAGCCGGCCUGAGAGGGCGACCGGCCACACUGGGACUGAGACACGGCCCAGAC